ACGUAGGGUGCGAGCGUUGUCCGGAAUUACUGGGCGUAAAGAGCUUGUAGGCGGUUUGUCGCGUCGUCCGUGAAAACUUGGGGCUCAACCCCAAGCUUGCGGGCGAUACGGGCAGACUUGAGUACUGCAGGGGAGACUGGAAUUCCUGGUGUAGCGGUGAAAUGCGCAGAUAUCAGGAGGAACACCGGUGGCGAAGGCGGGUCUCUGGGCAGUAACUGACGCUGAGAAGCGAAAGCGUGGGUAGCGAACAG
rnacentral:rRNA from 1 species